rnacentral:rRNA from 1 species
UGGGGAAUUUUGCGCAAUGGGGGAAACCCUGACGCAGCAACGCCGCGUGAGUGAUGAAGGCCUUCGGGUCGUAAAGCUCUGUCAGAGGGGAAGAAAUGCAGGGGUGCUAAUAUCAUCUUUGCUUGACGGUACCCUCAAAGGAAGCACCGGCUAACUCCGUGCCAGCAGCCGCGGUAAUACGGAGGGUGCGAGCGUUGUUCGGAAUUAUUGGGCGUAAAGCGCGUGUAGGCGGUUUUGGUAAGUCUGAUGUGAAAGCCCCGGGCUCAACCUGGGAAGUGCAUUGGAAACUGUCAGACUUGAAUACGGGANAGGGUAUGGAAUUCCUAGUGUAGGAGUGAAAUCCGUAGAUAUUAGGAGGAACACCGGUGGCGAAGCGGCGUACCUGGACCGAUAUUGACG